AUACAAAAUAUAAAAUUAAACAAUAUAUAAUAAAAAAGUAUCUGAUAUGCACGUCACUUACAAGUGUACAUAAAACUUUGGAAUACAAUGAUUAAAAGCACAAAAAGUCAUAAUACAUUAAAAUAUUUUAUUAAAAUAUAUU